GAUGAACGCUGGCGGCGUGCCUAAUACAUGCAAGUCGAGCGAACAGACGAGGAGCUUGCUCCUCUGACGUUAGCGGCGGACGGGUGAGUAACACGUGGAUAACCUACCUAUAAGACUGGGAUAACUUCGGGAAACCGGAGCUAAUACCGGAUAAUAUAUUGAACCGCAUGGUUCAAUAGUGAAAGACGGUUUUGCUGUCACUUAUAGAUGGAUCCGCGCCGCAUUAGCUAGUUGGUAAGGUAACGGCUUACCAAGGCAACGAUGCGUAGCCGACCUGAGGGGGUGAUCGGCCACACUGGAACUGAGACACGGUCCAGACUCCUACGGGAGGCAGCAGUAGGGAAUCUUCCGCAAUGGGCGAAAGCCUGACGGAGCAACGCCGCGUGAGUGAUGAAGGUCUUCGGAUCGUAAAACUCUGUUAUUAGGGAAGAACAAAUGUGUAAGUAACGAUGCACGUCUUGACGGUACCUAAGCAGAAAGCCACGGCUAACUACGU
rnacentral:rRNA from 1 species